ACAAACUCGUGCUUCCUUUCCCAAAAGAGUUAAUAAUAGGUCUACCUCUAUGUUUGACAUUGUCCAUUUAGACAUUUGGGGACCAAGUUGUAUCAAUACAACUUUAGGAUUUCAUUAUUUUGUUAUGUUUAUUGAUGAUUAUUCUCGUUGUACUUGGUUAUUUUUAAUGAAGAACUGUUCUGAGUUAUUUUCUAUCUUCCAAAAUUUCUGUGCUGAAAUUCUUAAUCAGUUUGGUGUUUCAAUUAAAAUUUUGCUAAGUGACAAUGCAAAAGAAUAUUUAUCUUCUCCCUUUACUCAUUUUUGUCUUCUCAGGGCAUUACUCACCAGACUUCUUGUGCACACACCCCACAAUAGAAUGGAGUUGCUAAACAAAAAAAUCGGCACUUAAUUGAAAUUGCCCGAACCCUACUCAUAAAUUAUAAUGUUCCUCUUCGUUUCUGGGGGGAUGCUGUACUUACUGCCUGUUAUUUAAUUAACCGAAUGCCCUCCUCUGUUUUGCAGCAUAAAAGUCCUCAUUCAGUUUUAUUUGCAAACUAGAACUCUCAUCGGUUGCCCCUGCGUGUGUUUGGAUGUAUAUGUUUUAUUCAUGAUUAUACUCCUGGAAAAGACAAAUUUCAUCCCAAAUCAAUUAAAUGUGUUUUUUUUUGGGAUAUUUCCGACUUCAAAAAGGGUACAAAUGUUAUGAUCUAAUUACAAAGAAAUAUUUUAUUUCAGCAGAUGUAACCUUCUUUGAAGCAUCUCCCUAUUUUACCUCACACACAGUAGACAAAAAUCUUAUACCUGCAGCUUUGCCAGUUCCCACUCUUCCCCCUCCUUAAUUCAAUCAACCUUUAGUUCGUCCACCACUCCAAGUUUACUCACGUCGUUCUGUUAAUAUUCAUUUACAUGAUACAGGUACUGACGCACUCUCUGAUAACUCUCAUCCCAUUCCACCAUCACCUACUAUAGUCAUGCCUUCAGCAGAAGCAGUUACACCUCCAAUUGCUCUUCGGAAAGGUAUUCGAUCAUCUCGCAAUCCUUAUCUUAUUUAUAACUUUGUGAGCUACCAUCGUUUAUCUCCAUCCUACUAUGCUUUUGUGUCCAAUGUGUCCAAUGUUUUUAUUCCUAAGACGGUUAGAGAAACAUUGGACCAUCCAAGGUGGUGAGAUGCAAUGAUUGAGGAGAUGAGUGCCCUCCAUACCAAUGGAACUUGGGACUUGUUACCUUUACCACCAGGUAAGUCUACUGUUGGAUGCCGAUGGGUUUAUACAGUUAAGGUG
rnacentral:misc_RNA from 1 species